UACGUAGGGGGCUAGCGUUGUCCGGAAUCAUUGGGCGUAAAGAGCGUGUAGGCGGCUCGGUAAGUCCGCUGUGAAAGUCCAGGGCUCAACCCUGGAAUGCCAGUGGAAACUGUCGGGCUAGAGUCCGGAAGAGGCGAGUGGAAUUCCUGGUGUAGCGGUGAAAUGCGCAGAUAUCAGGAAGAACACCAAUGGCGAAGGCAGCUCGCUGGGACGGUACUGACGCUGAGGAGCGAAAGCGUGGGGAGCGAACAGG
rnacentral:rRNA from 1 species